UACGUAGGGCGCAAGCGUUGUCCGGAAUUAUUGGGCGUAAAGAGCUCGUAGGCGGCUUGUCACGUCGGGGUGUGAAAGCCCCGGGGCUUAACCCCGGGUCUGCAUUCGAUACGGGCAGGCUAGAGUGUGGUAGGGGAGAUCGGAAUUCCUGGUGUAGCGGUGAAAUGCGCAGAUAUCAGGAGGAACACCGGUGGCGAAGGCGGAUCUCUGGGCCAUUACUGACGCUGAGGAGCGAAAGCGUGGGGAGCGAACAGG
rnacentral:rRNA from 1 species